GACGAACGCUGGCGGCGUGCUUAACACAUGCAAGUCGUACGGUAAGGCCCCUUCGGGGGUACACGAGUGGCGAACGGGUGAGUAACACGUGAGUAACCUGCCCACAACUUUGGGAUAACGCUAGGAAACUGGUGCUAAUACUGGAUAUGUGCUCCUGCUGCAUGGUGGGGGUUGGAAAGCUCCGGCGGUUGUGGAUGGACUCGCGGCCUAUCAGCUUGUUGGUGGGGUAGUGGCCUACCAAGGCGGCGACGGGUAGCCGGCCUGAGAGGGUGACCGGCCACAUUGGGACUGAGAUACGGCCCAGACUCCUACGGGAGGCAGCAGUGGGGAAUAUUGCACAAUGGGCGCAAGCCUGAUGCAGCAACGCCGCGUGCGGGAUGACGGCCUUCGGGUUGUAAACCGCUUUCAGCAGGGACGAAGCUUUUUGUGACGGUACCUGCAGAAGAAGCACCGGCUAACUACGUG
rnacentral:rRNA from 1 species